UACGAAGGGGGCUAGCGUUGCUCGGAAUCACUGGGCGUAAAGCGCACGUAGGCGGAUCUUUAAGUCAGGGGUGAAAUCCUGGAGCUCAACUCCAGAACUGCCUUUGAUACUGAGGAUCUUGAGUACGGGAGAGGUGAGUGGAACUGCGAGUGUAGAGGUGAAAUUCGUAGAUAUUGGGAAGAACACCGGUGGCGAAGGCGGCUCACUGGCUCGUAACUGACGCUCAUGCACGACAGCGUGGGGAUCAAACAGG
rnacentral:rRNA from 1 species